GAACGGGUGAGUAACACGUGGGUGAUCUGCCCUGCACUUUGGGAUAAGCCUGGGAAACUGGGUCUAAUACCGGAUAGGACUACGCGAUGCAUGUCCUGUGGUGGAAAGCUUUUGCGGUGUGGGAUGGGCCCGCGGCCUAUCAGCUUGUUGGUGGGGUGAUGGCCUACCAAGGCGACGACGGGUAGCCGGCCUGAGAGGGUGUCCGGCCACACUGGGACUGAAAUACGGCCCAGACUCCUACGGGAGGCAGCAGUGGGGAAUAUUGCACAAUGGGCGCAAGCCUGAUGCAGCGACGCCGCGUGAGGGAUGACAGCCUUCGGGUUGUAAACCUCUUUCAAUAGGGACGAAGCGCAAGUGACGGUACCUAUAAAAAAAGCACCGGCCAACUACGUGCCAGCAGCCGCGGUAAUACGUAGGGUGCGAGCGUUGUCCGGAAUUACUGGGCGUAAAGAGCUCGUAGGUGGUUUGUCGCGUUGUUCGUGAAAACUCACAGCUUAACUGUGGGCGUGCGGGCGAUACGGGCAGACUGG
rnacentral:rRNA from 1 species